AUGGUGGGUAUGGGUAUGGGUUCCACAAAGCAUGGCGUUGUGUGGUGCGCCGGCCUGCUCGUCGCCGGGCUUCUCCUCGUGGCGGCUGAGGCAGAUUUAUGCUCCAAGGACUGCCAUGGCAAGACCCAUUUCUUGGGCUGCGUCGGUCGGUGCAGAUCUCAGCUUGAGGUUGCACGGCCGACGAACUGCAUCGCCCUCUGCCAUGGCAAGCCGAGCUUCAUUGCCUGCUGCAAUGGCUACCGGUAUGCCCGACGAGCGCCCAUGCAACUGCGUUGGCCCGGUGGGGAAUCCACAAGGCAUGAAGAAGAAGCAGGCGGAGGAGCAGUUGGUGUCCUGAAGGCGCCGGCCCCGGCGCCGUGUGAAGUGGUCUGCCGUGACCGGGUGGGCUGGGUGGAGUACGAGCGCUGCCUCGAUCGCUGCCGAUGGGGAGCGUUUGUCCAACGAGCGCUGCUUCUUCAUCUUAAGCUUACCGGCAGGGAAUCGGCGACACAUGAAGAAGCAAGAGGAGGAGGAGGAGCAGUUGAUGUUCUCGCGGCGGCGCUGUCGUCCUUCUGCGGCGACUACUGCCGAGCGGAAGAACCCAACGUCGACUACAGGUACUGCGUCCGCCGGUGUGAGUUUGGACCCAGGCGGGCCUCCUCCAUUGCCGGCGGGGAACCAAAGGCACAACAAGAAGAAGGAGAAGGAAGCGGAGGAGGAGCGGUUGAUGUCCCUCAGGCAGCGGCGGUAGCGGCGGCGGCGCAGGUGCAACACCAUGAGGCUGUCACAGGAGCACAGGCGAUGAAAAACACCGACCCGUGCGAUGACUACUGCAUGGAGCAAACUCGUUACUUUCCCAGGCCCGGACAGUUCUUCGAUUGCGUCGAGGAGUGCCACGCUGGUCAUGGCCGGCUCGCCUAUGACUACGGGAAUGGGAUCCAGCCGGCUGCGGUGGCGCAACAUGAGGCUGCUGCAGGAGCGCAGCCGGCGAAUACCGACCCGUGCGAGCCCUACUGCGAAUGGCAUGCUCGGGACUUCCCCGCGAAGUACACAGCCUGUGUGCGCCAGUGCCAGUCCGGUGGGCACCCUGGCGACGUCGGGAACAGGAUCAAGCAGGAACAGCGCAAGAAGCACGACGACAUCCAUCUUCGCCGUGGCACCGGUAGCAAGAUUGCCGUCGAAUAG
rnacentral:rRNA from 1 species